GGCCAUAGCUCAGUGGUAGAGCAUCUGCCUGGCAGCUCAAUGGUAGAACAUCUGCUUUGUAUGCAGAAGGCCCCAGCUUUAGUGCCCGGCAUCUCCA